rnacentral:lncRNA from 1 species
AUCUAGAUACCUAGAUAUUAGCUAGCUGGUCCCAAGCCCAGAUAAAGGAGGAGGGUUCGAGGGCAAGGCUAGCAACCUACCCUCGGUAAAAAAAAUGUAAUUGCUCCUAGGACAAAGAGUCCUAAUAAUAAGAGAAAGAGAAAGAAAAAUAAUAAGAAGAAAUUGAACAUGUCUAUAUAGUAUCUGUAAAUAAUUUGAAAUAACGAUAUUAUAAUUUAAGUAGACAUUUUUGUUUUGAGGAUGGUGGUGGGUUGUUAAAGGGAUUGCGAGGAGUACAGUAAACGGGCAGGAAACUCUUUGACGAGGUCGUUUCCGGACGAGUCUGAUGUUUCUUGACUGUGAUCCCAAACGCUAUCGCAACAAUUGGAUAGCUCGAGCCCUUCCUUUCUAUCCUAGUCUUGCUGUGCGACCAUGAUAAGCUUCAGAAACAGCUCUUAAUGGUUUCCCUCGCGAUUACCAGUAUCUAUAUCUCCGAUUCAUCCCUUCUCGUCUCCUCUUCUCUUCCUAUUUCCUAUGUUACUCCUUCUGUACUAUUGUAUCAUCAUACGAAAGCUACGAAAUCGGGAACAUGGUUUUGCGAAUAUCGUCGAUGACUAUGACUACAUUAUGAUUCGCUAUUGUUAGAGAUACCGCAGAUAAAAUAACUAUUUCUAUUAUUGAUAAUAUUUAUUCCUUUCGUUUAUUAAUAGUAUACUUUGAGAAAACACUAAUUAUAUUUCAUAAAUAAUAAUAUCGACACAUUAGACAAUUUAAUACUAUAUAAUAUUCUAUAUAAUAAGAGGAAUUGUUAUUUAAUGAUCAUUAAAAUAUUGUAAGAUUUUCUUUCAGGAAUCUUUGUUGUUAAAAAGAUUCGUUUUAAGAUUUUUUUUUUUUCAAGCUUUCCAUUAUCCUUUCUAUACUAUAAAAUUUCACCAAUGGGAGCCAUUGUAAAACCUUCGCCAAGAGACUCGUUCGUAAACAACGAGAUUAUCGAAGUUCGAUGACAAUCUCUACGGCAAAUCGAGUUUUCUUCUUUCUCUUUCUCUUUCUAUUUCACUUCGUAUUCUUUACCUGUAGACUCUCAGUCUCUUUAAUUUCAAAAGGAAACUAACGUACGAACGUUUGGAUGGAAACUUUCGUUUUGUUGAAAUCCAAUAAGAAUUACUAAUUGGGAGUUUUCUCGUAUUAUAUAAGUUACAAUUGUAACGAAUUUUGUCAAUAUUUGAUUAUCAUCUACAACAUUAAAUUAUUUCGUUUAUAUUAUUGCGUGAAAUUUAAUGGUUCCAACGAUAAUCUACUUUAUAAAUUUUUUACGUUAAAGUUUAUACUAAUUGAUGAUACUAAAAGUUUUAGUUUCUUCGAUGGAUUUUGAUAUAUGUACAGAAAUAUAUGUUGUAAUAUAUCUUUGGGUAAACACAAUCUGUAGAAUCGGAUUAGACUUCGAAGCUGGAGUCCUCAAUCGCCAAACUAAACUGAGUUAAGCCCAGUAUUAGUAGCAAAGCCUCGUUUAUUAAUUCAAACCAAGUUAACCCUCCGUGUUUCUCCUUGCAACCUCGAAGAAAAUCAGCAGCGUGUGACGUUACUUUAGGUUAGUUACGGAAUAACUACAUCUUAAGAGUUAAUACCUGAAAAGGUGCGAUAGCUAUACUUGAGAAACGAUUGAUAACAUUUAUAUAAAGAUAAGACGGGAAGGAUCAUACGUCCGGGGAAUAGGUUGUAGCAAUUGGAGGGCAACCUCGUUACAGGAAGUUUCGCGUCCGAAAAAUGAAAUAAAGAUAGAAAAUAAAGAGGAGAAAAAGGAAAGGAUGGUUCGUACGAAGGAGAAGAAGAAGAAGAAGAAAGUCGCUAAGGGUGCAGCCUUAACUCCGUUGACUCGUCGCCAUGUUCGAUGGUUGAAGGCCUGAACCUAAAGAGGGUUCGAAAUGUUAGAUGGAAGAAGAAGGAAGGAAGAGCCUGGGUGUGCAACGGGCGUAGCGAGUGUUCCGCUCCCCGAUGGGAAAGGAGUUUGCAUAGCGGAAGUACCCUCGAAUCGAUUCAUCGAAAACAUCUAACCCUCUUGGAGACCUCCAUCUCAAACUCAAACUCUUCACCCCUCCUAUAACCCCUGGUCCUGGUACAGAGAAGGGAGUGUACUGUCUCCCUUGAUAAGAACGUUGGGAAAAGGAAGGAAGAGAUGGGUAGUGGUGGUUCGUUGUGUUAGUAGUCAAGAUGUAGAUGGUAGGACAAGGGGUUCCAGAGGUGACGCUAGGGUAUCCUCAGACGCAACGCGAAUAGAAAGUACUUUCCUAGUCCUUAGACCUUUUUACUACUACUACUACUACUACUACUACUACUAUCCCUUUUUAUCUCUCUCUCUCUCUCUUCUUCAAUUUCUGUAAACCACAAGUCACGCGAAUUCGCCGCAAGGGCCGAAUCAACUAAGCCUUAGACCUCUUCUUGCUGGAAGUCUUUCCCGUAGAAAUAAAGAAAAUACGAAAUAUUAAAUUACUUCCUUCGAUCGUC